rfam:Otolemur garnettii contig142204, whole genome shotgun sequence.
GCAGCUGUGGCUCAAAGGAGUGGGGUGCCAGCUUCAUAUGCUGGAGGUGGCUGGUUCAAACCCAGUUCCAGCCA